UUUGCCGAAAUGGGGAAUUUUAUUCCAUGAAUGGACCUUAGGUUAAAUUUUAUUAUGUGAUUAAUUAAAUUAAAUGUGAGAGACAUUUAAUUUAAUUAAUUAAUGUUAAGUUUGGUGAUUAAAACUUAAUAAGAGUGAAAAAAUGUGUCAAAAGUCAAUUUGGACUUUUCUUCUUAUAAACCUUUAUUAACCUUUAUAAAAAAAUAAAAAAAUAAAUAAAAAAAAUUAAUGGUCACAUAUAUGGAAAAUGGUGGCUGGCCAUGUGCUAUUUUAGAGUGGUGUGAACCCAAUUUUAUAAAAUUCAAAUCCCAUUUAAUUAAGAAGUCAAGUGGGCAAGUGGGUAGAAAAGCACUCAAGUGUUUUGUGAUAUUUUGAAGAGUUGUGUGAGCCAUUCUAACCCCCAAAUCCGACCACUCUCCCUCCCUCAUUCACUCUCAUCUGAUUUUUGAAGACUCUCUCAAGUUUUUUCUCCAUUUUCAACCCCAAGAACACCAAAGAAACUUGGAAGCUAAGUCUUGGUCUAGGAAGGGUUUUCCCUAAGUUGGUUAGGGUUUUUGAAAGGUUUUGAAGGAGUCAAAGCUUAUAGGAAGGUCCAAACCUUAAGCAAGAACACCAAAGAGUAUUGGCUAAGCGUAACUGGACUGAACGUUGGAGGGUGAAAACCUGCUGAGCGCUAAGGACUCCAAGUAAGAGCAAGGGCAAGGCAGAGCAGUGAGCGCUGGAGUCUUCCUUGCAAAUGUACAUGUGGACCGACCUUUUGGGAAGCCUUUUUAUUUUUGGAAAUGUUGUGUAAUUUUCCUAAACUAGGCUCACUCUAAUCUUUAUAAAACAUGUUUGUAACUAAAUGUUAAAUAUGGCCAUACGACUUUUUAAAAAGUUUUUUUUUCUAUGGGUUUUUGAGACAUUUUGUUAAAUGAAAACAUUUAUAUUUCUGCAUUAUCGAGUCUUGAGAAUCUGGGUCGUUACACCAAGGAUGUGGUCCGAGGAGAGACCAAGAAUUUGGUCUUUAUACAUAUGUCCAGCAAGUGCAUGGUUGCCCAAAUAAAAGAGUGCCAUGUUAGAGGAGAGAUAUGGCAUGCUAGAGGAGAGUGCCAUGUUAGAGGAGAGGAGUGCAUCUCCUACCACCAUGCACUUGUCCGACCCACAAAAACAUGUCCUACCACCAUGCACAUGUCCGACCAGCACUUGCAUGGGUGGUCAGUAGGAGGUGGAUCAACUAGCUAGAGGAGGACUCAGUCAAGAUUCCCAGAAACAACUUCAACAAGAUAUGCGGGAAUCUCUCAUUCUUCCCACAAAUGGGGGGUGUUACAUUUUGAAUUUUGAAUGUUUCUUUGUAAUUUAAAUGUAAUAAAUAUAAUAAAAUAUCUCGGUUCUAGGGGAUACCGUAUGUAUGACCCUAAGCCUAUAAAUAGAGGGCUUAUGGGAUGAGAGAGGGGCUUCUUCUGCUUCUUCUUUCUAGAGAGAGAAAAUUUGGGUCUGAGUAUUCUAGAGAGAGAAAGUGCUGACAUUUGAAAGAAUUCUUGUAUUUUUGCAAUCUGUACUGAAGAAACUCAGUUGGCUCAGUCCAUCUGAUCUUGAGUACGGAUCUAUAAAUCACAACUCUAAGUGGAUUAGGCUAUUACCGACAAUCGGGGCUGAACCACUAUAAAA